GACGAACGCUGGCGACGUGCUUAACACAUGCAAGUCGAACGGAAAGGCCUGCUUUCCCUUGUGGAUUGCGGGUACUCGAGUGGCGAACGGGUGAGUAACACGUGAGUGAUCUGCCCCCAACUUGGGUAUAAGCCUGGGAAACUGGGUCUAAUUCCCGAUAGGACUGCAGGGUGGUGCCUGUGGUGGAAAACGAUUUUCUAGUGGUUGGGGAUGAGCUCGCGGCCUAUCAGCUUGUUGGUGGGGUAAUGGCCUACCAAGGCGGCGACGGGUAGCCGGCCUGGGAGGGUGGACGGCCACAUUGGGACUGAGAUACGGCCCAGACUCCUACGGGAGGCAGCAGUGGGGAAUAUUGCACAAUGGGCGGAAGCCUGAUGCAGCGACGCCGCGUGGGGGAUGACGGCCUUCGGGUUGUAAACUCCUUUCGACCGCGAGGAAGCCACCUGGUUGGAAGGGUGGUGACGGUAGUGGUAGAAGAAGCACCGGCUAACUACGUG
rnacentral:rRNA from 1 species